rnacentral:rRNA from 1 species
GGGUUGUGAGGUUAAGCGACUAAGCGUACACGGUGGAUGCCCUGGCAGUCAGAGGCGAUGAAGGACGUGCUAAUCUGCGAUAAGCGUCGGUAAGGUGAUAUGAACCGUUAUAACCGGCGAUUUCCGAAUGGGGAAACCCAGUGUGAUUCGUCACACUAUCAUUAACUGAAUCCAUAGGUUAAUGAGGCGAACCGGGGGAACUGAAACAUCUAAGUACCCCGAGGAAAAGAAAUCAACCGAGAUUCCCCCAGUAGCGGCGAGCGAACGGGGAGGAGCCCAGAGCCUGAAUCAGUGUGUGUGUUAGUGGAAGCGUCUGGAAAGGCGCGCGAUACAGGGUGACAGCCCCGUACACAAAAAUACACAUAUUGUGAGCUCGAU